CUGCUUCUGCAGCGCAAAUAGUAAAACUGGAACAAAGCAAAGAAGAUCAGCGUGGCUCCUGCACAAGAAUGACGUUUUUUUCACAUGGCAGUAGAAGUGGGUU